rnacentral:lncRNA from 10 species
AACAUCGAUGUGAAUGUGACAGCAAUCUUGAAGACCAGACAGAAAACCAGGCUAUGAAUCAAAGAAAAAAAUCAAAAUCACACUUCAUAACUGCUUCAGUAACCCUUGGCAACAGACAACACACUGGAUUUUGGCUAAUAACACUAAAAUUUUUGCUGGUGAGGUCUUCAGAAACCGGAUAGAUGUGAAACCACCAGAACAGAAGUGGAGUGGGCACGAUAUCUGUUUCUUCAAUUUGUAGUUUCAUAGUCAAAAACUGGCAUGUAUAUACUUAAUCGGUGACAUGUAAGUCACAUGCCUUUAUC